rnacentral:lncRNA from 1 species
AAUGGUGAGUAGAAGUAACCUAAAAAGAGGCCUAAAGUUGAGCAAAACUGAAAAAAUGCAAGGCUGGCCAAGGUAACUUGAAAUCUGCCUAGAAAUUUCAAGUCAUGGUACUGACUUUAAGUGAGUGUGUCUCUCAAACCAUGGAUCCAAAUGAGAUGACUCCAAAGGGAGGUGAAAGAGGACAUGACAAGGUAUAAUUGUUGUGAAGAAAAUAUUUUCAAUUGGUGCCUUGAAGUGCAAGAAAACUGGCCAACAAGUUUGACACAAUUUAAAGAUUUUUAGACUUGGAAAAUUUUCCAAGUGUCCUAAAAAAUAUACCCUACUUUGACCAAGCAUAACUUUCUCAAUUUUGAUCCAAGUUGAGCAAACUUUAUAUUUAUAGAAAGCUUGGGACAAGAGGAAAAACUUUCAUGCAGGAUAAAUGUUCAAAUGGAGCUUUUAUCUUGAUGGAAAAUGGGCUUAAAGUGAGUGCAAAGUCAUAAAAACUUGCCCAAAAUGGAAAGUCAACCACUUCCAAAUUAAGCAACUUUUCCAAUUCCUGAUUAAAUGACGAAUCCAUGAUCCAACCUUGAUCAAAUUUCACAUGUAGGCUCCCCUAGGCAUGAAUUUUGAGAUUCCACUCUCAAAAAAUCAAAAGUUG